UUGGUGGCAAGCUUUCUUGGGGUCCUGAGGCAAUUGUUUGCGAUGAUCCAAAUUUUCAGGGUCGUGGAAACCCUUCUAGUGGUGAUAUAUUCCAUGCUGCACCAAACAUCGAUCAUUCCCAGGAGUUUGUAAGAAAAGAUUAAAAGAGUGGUUAAAUUGGCUUCGAAAUUACAUUGGUUAUGAUGGGUGGCGCCUCGACUUUGUGAGGGGCUUCUCAGGUUCUUAUGUAAAAGAAUAUAUUGAAGCUUCAAAUCCUGCAUUUGCUAUUGGAGAAUAUUGGGAUAGUUUAGGUUAUGAGCAUGGCGACUUGUGUUACAACCAAGGUAAGAACUUAAGGCCCGAAAGAAACUCUUCACUUAAGGAUUUUAGCUGUUAUGUUUGCUCAAUGUUGAGAGAUCUGUGUGCAUUCACAUACAGUUUAUUUACCUGCUACCUCACUGUUUUCAGGGUGGCAUUUUUUUUUUUUAAAUUUUUUUUUCAAGUUCCUACAAACUUGUUGAAUUGAUCUUCCAGAUUGGGGCAUAGAAUACAAGAUUUCUAAAAUACCAUGUUUGAUUAUUCAUCUGGGGUCUAGAUGUCUGGAGACUUUUUUGGCUACCCAAGAUGGGUUAAGAUUUUGAUCUUGCUCUACCAAUACGUACGUGGACCUAGAAUUAUUUUACAAAACAAUGAGUUAGAAAUUGAAGCAAGGGAACCUGAAUCAUGUCAUUUAUGUCAUGCACUAUUUGUUAGGCAGCUAGAAAAGAUCAGUUUACUUUAUAUAAGAUACACUCUUUUAUUUAUUUAUUUACUUUUGUGCGUGUGGGGAUGGAACACUCAAAUUAUAGAUGAUCAUAGGCAAAGGAUAGUCAAUUGGAUCAAUGCCACAGGGGGUACUUCAUCAGCAUUUGAUGUCACAACAAAGGUGAUGUUUCUGCUUUCUCAAGUUUCUCAUAAUAUCUAUUUUAAUUUCCCAGAUAUUUCAUUUCUUAUUUUACUUAUUUUCAA